UUUUUUUAAUGGGGUCAUAUUAGAUGUUUACAAUAAAUGCUCGUUGGUUAUGCCCCGGUUGGUUCAGCUAAACAAGUAUUUCCUGGGUUUGCUGCUUCGAUCUGCCAAUGCCAGUACAUGUGCUGUAUAGAUAGGUGAGACCUAUUAAUGCAGAAGAAUGAACACUGCUGUUCUUCCAGUUGUGUAACAGCUUUCUGAGGCCAGCGAAGAAAAUGCCAAGUGAGCUUUCCUUAUAGUGGUGUUUAUUUAAAGUACUCUGUCAAGGUUGAGUUGACUUUACCAAGGCAUUAUAAAAGGAAAGAAAUGGAACAAAAUAGAAAAAAGGAGAAGUGAUUUCCAUGUUCAUCUCAUAGCUGAAACUCAAGAAAUUAAAAAAGAAGUUUGAAAUAAUUUUUGAAUUGUAAACAAUUUGCAGUCAUAAGACAGAGCUUUCUUCUUCGAAAAGCUUACAUUCCUUUUAAGAUGGACCAGAUGAGAGUUAAAGGAGAUACAGCGUGAGAAAAUGUUUUUUAUUUUUCCUCAGUAAUAUAUUUGAUAACUCAUUAUUGUCAUACCGACAGGCACACAAAUUGUGUUCUUCCCUUACCUGCCAUUUAUUUUUCUAUUCAGCUAAUUUUCUUCCAGCUAUUUUGUGGAAAUGUAUUGUGGGUGAAAUGCACGUAUGGGGAAGCUAAUUGCACUGUGUGGCAUUU